CAUUUUCUUGUUCUUCAAGCUCUCUCUCAUUCUCUUUCCCCUUCUCUUUGAGCUCAUUCGCAGGGCGAAACCAGGAGCAGAUGACGCAGGACAUGGAGACCGCCUCUCUAUCAAUACUCGUUCACUUCUCCCGUUCGUCAGCAUCUGAAAGAGAUCGGGACCCUGAUCGACACGGGGGCGUACACGAAGAAGGUACGCCGGAUCGUUCGUGCCGUCUACCACACGAUCACGCUGCACCGCAAGCUCACUGUGCCAGUCCUCUCGGCAUUCCUUCACCACAUCUUAGUGUCUGGGUCGGACGUCUUGGUUCAGUUAUGUUCCUACCUUCCGAAACUUGUAACUCGUUUGGUAUUUGAAAGAAGCAAUGCUGAUGCAGACGUAAAAGUGGCUGAUAUCAUGUCCACUGUUUUGGUUCACCAAGUGAUACCAGCAUGUGUACCACCAGUGUACCCUCCAAGAUUUGGUCAUGGUUGGGCUUGUAUUCCCCUGAUGCCAUCUUCUGGGAGGGCCAGCCUUGACAGAAAAUCCCGAUCCAAUGCUCCUGCAGAAGGCAAGGCUUCAAUGCAUGGUUUAUCGGCCACAUCACCUGUAACUCCAGCAUAUCCUCUUCAGCUCAAUGUAGUCAAGCAUCUUGCAACAUUGUCUCCAGUGAGGGUUGUGCUGGCCUGUGUAUUUGGAAGUAGCAUAUUAUCCAGUGGCAGUAUUUCUUUAGAAUCAAAGUCCUCCAAUGAUUCAAUAGCACAGUCUGUUGACAAUGAUAGACUGUUCUAUGAGUUCGCUCUUGAUCAGUCAUACGGGUCUUAGGUUCCCAACUUUAAAUGGAUGGAUUCAGAUGCAAUCAAAUCUCCAUAGAGUCUGAAUCCGCUGCCACCUGAAGAUGCAUAGCUGAAGUUGGAAAAUCCAAAGCUGAGUCCAGAUUUGCUAUUAAGCGUUCUUUUGAGCCUGACAACGAUACUGAGUCAGAAGAGGAAGACAAAGGCCAUGUUGUAGUCAGAAGUCACGUAUCUACAUCUUUUUCAGAGCCUGAUGCACAAAAUCAUGGCUCUUCAGAAUCCUAACAAAGUGCUCAAAAGUUUGAAAAUGUGGACCUGGAAAAGGCAGUUUUCUUUCAUUGGAUUGGGAGAACGAAGGACCAUAUGAAGAAGCUGUUGAAAGAUUAAUAGGUGAAGGAAAAUAUAUAGAUGCUCUUGCUUUAUCUGAUCGCUGUUUAUGUGGUGGGGCUUCUGAUCGGUUGCUACAAUUGCUAGUUGAAAGAGGUGAAGAAAAUCAUUUACCCACUGACUUGCCACAUGGUUAUGGUAUACAUAGCGUAUGGAGCAAUAGUUGGCAAUAUUGUUUGAGAUUGAAAGAAAAGCAACUGGCCGCCAGACUUGCUGUCAAAUAUCUUCAUAGAUGGGAGCUUAAUGAUGCGAUGGAUGUUCUCACCAUGUGCAUUUGCCAUCUGCCGCACGGUGAUCCUCUUAGGAGUGAGGUUGAAGGAUUUAAAGGGGACACAAGCAACACCCAAUGCAAGAAAUGAUGUAUAUGAUACAUGGCUGAAUGUUGAAAUAUUAAGCCAAGGAGCUGACACACACCACACACAUGGUGAGAGGAUUAUUGAUGAGUUUGAGACAGCCACAGACACUCAGAUGAAAGACACAUCUUCAUCUACUCAGUCCAACAAUAUGACUUCAAUCAUUUUUCAAGAGUAGUGCAUACUCGACGAUUAGCUCCAGAAACUGACAGUACUUGUCCACGUAGAUCAGAAUGUGUGCGGCAUCCCAUUGAUAGAUGGGUAAGUUAUGAUAAUUUCUCUUUGGAUUUUAGCUUUUCAUGACUGAAUUAAGCAAAAAGGUAGAGCCAAAAUGUUAUGUGCACAUGUGCAAAAGCAAAUGUUGGGUCAAGGCCAUGAAUGAAGAAAUGGCUGCCUUAAGUGAAUGUCAAACUUAGGAGAUUGUUCCUCGUCCACAUGGUAAGAAUGUAGUGAGCUCAAAAUGAAUUUACAAACUCAAGUAUAAUCCCAAUGAAUGCAUUGAUAGGCAUAAGGUUAGACUUGUCGCUAGAGGUUUCACUCAGCAGUACGGAGAAGAUUAUGAUGAGACUUUCAGUCCAGUCAUUAAUAUGGAAACGAUUAGGGUUAUCAUAUCUCUUGCAGUCUCAUAUGGAUGGACUUUGUAUAAGCUAGAUGUCAAAAAUAUUUUUCUUCAUGGCUUUCUUAAGGAAGAGGUAUACAUGGAACAAAACCCUGGUUAUGCUACAAAUGAUCCUGCUAAAUAGGUGUGCAAGUUACAAAAAUCGUUGUAUGGACUUAAGCAAGUAUCUCGUUCAUGGUUUGAUAGAUUUUUCCUUUAUAUACAGCAAGUUGGUUUUCGCAGAAGUUCACUUGAUCACUCCUUAUUCAUAUAUCAUUCAGGUGAAGUUGCCACUUGGCUGCUCAUAUAUGUAGAUGAUAUAGUUCUUAUUGGGAAUUCUUCAUCUCAUAUAUCCCAUGUAAAGGAUGUAUUGAAACGAGAAUUCAAGAUGAAAGACCUUGGCGAAUUACGGUAUUUCUUGGGCAUAGAGCAGCUUGGUAGAAACGGCAACACAUUAACUUUUACGCAACAUAAAUAUACUCUUGAUAUUUUGGACAGAACAAGUAUGACAAAUUGCAAGCCCAUAACUACACCUAGUGUUCGCAAUACAAAAUUGAAUGCCUCUGAUGAGAGUGAUGCAUACUCAAAACCUAGUUUCUAUUGGAGUAUAGUUAGCAUGUUGAAAUACCUCACUUUAAAACUCCAGACAGAGUAUAUGCAGUGAAUCAAGUAUCCCAAUUUAUGCAUGCACCUACAGAAGGACGUAUGGAUGCUACCAAACACAUUUUGCAUUCCCUCAAGGCUACUCUUGGCGAUGGACUUGUCUACACAAGACAAUCAUCUGUUUUACAUGGCCACAACAUUUCCACCUAUGCUGAUGCAGAUUGGGCAGGUGAUGCAGAUGAUAGACGAUCAAUUUCUGGUUAUUGUCUCUUCCUUGAUUCCAAUCUUAUUUAUUGGAGUAGCAGGAAACAACGUGCAGUCGAUAGAUCUAGCACUGAGGUAGAAUAUAGGGCAAUGGCUAUAGGCACAGCUAAAGCUUCAUGGUUAUGUCAUCUACUUGGGGAACUCUCACUUCCCAUUGCUCAGUCAUUUAUAUUUUGUAACAACUAAAGUGCGAUAAAGAUUGCUUUCAAUCAUGUUCUAUAUAAUCACACUAAGCAUAUAGAGAUUGAUCAACACUUCAUUCGUCAAAAGGUUGCAGAAGAGAAGAUUGUUCUCACAUAAUCAUGUCUCAACAAGUGGCUGAUCUUUUUAUCAAGGGACUUAUAGGGCACCAUUUAUGGGAAUUGAGGAACAAGUAGUAUAUAUCAAACCUCAUGCACAAUUUGAGGAGAGCUGUUAAGUUUGUAUGAUAUGGAUUGGGUCACCCAAACCCGACUCAUUUGAUCCACAUGGCCAACACAUCAUAGGAGGUGGCAUACUUGUAAAUCUUAAUAUUAUUUUGUGUAUUUUAUGUUAUAUCCUAAAUUAUGAUUAGUAUAUAAUGAUAA